rnacentral:misc_RNA from 1 species
AUUGUUUCGAACGCCCGCUUUUUUCACGAAGAGCGCACGGAUCGGUAGUGAGGGUCUUGCCAUUUACCGUGGCUCCCUCGAAAUACAUUAGCGCAUCCAUUUGAUAGGCAAGACGGACGAAAGCUCGAUCUUUUGCUCCCUCGUUUCCUGCCUGCCGGGUUUUGAUAAUAUCAGGACUUCGGAGGAGGAAUGAGGUGGGUGUGAGCUGGACGCAACGUUUUGCUGGUUGGAGUGCUUCUAACCCCGCCCAUGGCUCUGCUGUUUUACGACGGCAGAGAAAGGGAUUUUUUCAAUU